rnacentral:rRNA from 1 species
CACGUAGGGUGCGAGCGUUGUCCGGAAUUAUUGGGCGUAAAGAGCUCGUAGGCGGUGUGUCGCGUCGGCCGUGAAAACCUGCAGCUUAACUGUGGGCUUGCGGUCGAUACGGGCAUCACUGGAGUUCGGCAGGGGAGACUGGAAUUCCUGGUGUAGCGGUGAAAUGCGCAGAGUAUCAGGAGGAACACCGGUGGCGAAGGCGGGUCUCUGGGCCGAUACUGACGCUGGAGGAGCGGAAAGCGUCGGGGAGCGA